AUACAUAGGGUGCGAGCGUUGUCCGGAAUUACUGGGCGUAAAGAGCUCGUAGGUGGUUUGUCGCGUCGUCUGUGAAAUUCCGGGGCUUAACUCCGGGCGUGCAGGCGAUACGGGCAUAACUUGAGUACUGUAGGGGAGACUGGAAUUCCUGGUGUAGCGGUGAAAUGCGCAGAUAUCAGGAGGAACACCGGUGGCGAAGGCGGGUCUCUGGGCAGUAACUGACGCUGAGGAGCGAAAGCAUGGGUAGCGAACAGGAUUAGAUACCCUGGUAGUCCAUGCCGUAAACGGUGGGCGCUAGGUGUAGGGGUCUUCCACGACUUCUGUGCCGUAGCUAACGCAUUAAGCGCCCCGCCUGGGGAGUACGGCCGCAAGGCUAAAACUCAAAUGAAUCGGCGGGG
rnacentral:rRNA from 1 species